CAGUCCAUCACAGGAUCUUCUGUCUCUCAGAAUGUGGUCAUCGCCAUGUCGGGAAUUGCGAAGGUGUUUGCUGGGGAGAUCGUUGAGGAAGCUCUCGAUGUGUGUGAGAAGUGGGGAGACACGCCACCCCUGCAGCCCAAACACAUGAGAGAAGCUGUCAGGAGAUUGAAGAGCCGAGAGCAAACUCCCAACAGCAAACACAAAAAAAUCCUCUUCCACUGAGCUCCAGUUCCUCUCUCGUGACUCUCCUUCUAUUUGAAAACACUCUCUAUUAGUAUUGUUGUGGGGGCAAUGGACAUAACCAUGCAUCUUUUUCAGAUUUCUGAUGUGUUUGGAAUGCGCUGUUUUUAUCUUCGGUUUGUUUUGUUUGGUAUAAAGUAGAGGAUGUGGUAUAUCUCUUGUUUUGUCCACAGUCUGUCCUCUAGAGCAUGUGACGAAAUUAAAAAAAAAAUGAAUGUUAAGGAAGACUUUUAGGAUGAUAAAUAUUGUACAAUUCCUAGCUGUCACUCAAAAGUAAGUAUGCCAUUGAAAUGUCUGUGGACUCAUUUUUAAAAAUAUUUUGUAAUAUUUGUUUUAUUUUGAGAACUACAUAUAUGUGCAAGUGAUGUUUUGUGUAUGGAAAUGAUAUAAAAUUGGAAUCUUUGGAGUUGAGGAAGAAAAAAAAUUUGAAAAAUAAAUAUUUUGAUGAAA